rnacentral:tRNA from 1 species
ACUUGCUUAGCUCAGGGGUAGAGUAUCAGUCUCAUAAGCUGACUGUCGCCAGUUCAAUUCUGGCAGCAAGUA